UGGGGAAUUUUGGACAAUGGGCGAAAGCCUGAUCCAGCAAUGCCGCGUGUGUGAAGAAGGCCUUCGGGUUGUAAAGCACUUUUGUCCGGAAAGAAAUGGCUCUGGUUAAUACCUGGGGUCGAUGACGGUACCGGAAGAAUAAGGACCGGCUAACUACGUGCCAGCAGCCGCGGUAAUACGUAGGGUCCAAGCGUUAAUCGGAAUUACUGGGCGUAAAGCGUGCGCAGGCGGUUGUGCAAGACCGAUGUGAAAUCCCCGAGCUUAACUUGGGAAUUGCAUUGGUGACUGCACGGCUAGAGUGUGUCAGAGGGGGGUAGAAUUCCACGUGUAGCAGUGAAAUGCGUAGAGAUGUGGAGGAAUACCGAUGGCGAAGGCAGCCCCCUGGGAUAACACUGACGCUCAUGCACGAAAGCGUGGGGAGCAAACAGGAUUAGAUACCCUGGUAGUCCACGCCCUAAACGAUGUCAACUAGUUGUUGGGGAUUCAUUUCCUUAGUAACGUAGCUAACGCGU
rnacentral:rRNA from 1 species